rnacentral:rRNA from 1 species
AGUGAACGCUGGCGGUAGGCCUAACACAUGCAGGUCGAACGGCAGCACAGUAAGAGCUUGCUCUUACGGGUGGCGAGUGGCGGACGGGUGAGGAAUACAUCGGAAUCUACUUUUUCGUGGGGGAUAACGUAGGGAAACUUACGCUAAUACCGCAUACGACCUACGGGUGAAAGCAGGGGAUCUUCGGACCUUGCGCGAUUGAAUGAGCCGAUGUCGGAUUAGCUAGUUGGCGGGGUAAAGGCCCACCAAGGCGACGAUCCGUAGCUGGUCUGAGAGGAUGAUCAGCCACACUGGAACUGAGACACGGUCCAGACUCCUACGGGAGGCAGCAGUGGGGAAUAUUGGACAAUGGGCGCAAGCCUGAUCCAGCCAUACCGCGUGGGUGAAGAAGGCCUUCGGGUUGUAAAGCCCUUUUGUUGGGAAAGAAAAGCAGCAGGUUAAUAUCCCGCUGUUCUGACGGUACCCAAAGAAUAAGCACCGGCUAACUUCGUG